rnacentral:rRNA from 1 species
CACGUGGGCAAUCUGCCCUGCACUCUGGGACAAGCCCUGGAAACGGGGUCUAAUACCGGAUAUGACUGUCCAUCGCAUGGUGGAUGGUGUAAAGCUCCGGCGGUGCAGGAUGAGCCCGCGGCCUAUCAGCUUGUUGGUGAGGUAGUGGCUCACCAAGGCGACGACGGGUAGCCGGCCUGAGAGGGCGACCGGCCACACUGGGACUGAGACACGGCCCAGACUCCUACGGGAGGCAGCAGUGGGGAAUAUUGCACAAUGGGCGAAAGCCUGAUGCAGCGACGCCGCGUGAGGGAUGACGGCCUUCGGGUUGUAAACCUCUUUCAGCAGGGAAGAAGCGAAAGUGACGGUACCUGCAGAAGAAGCGCCGGCUAACUACGUGCCAGCAGCCGCGGUAAUACGUAGGGCGCAAGCGUUGUCCGGAAUUAUUGGGCGUAAAGAGCUCGUAGGCGGCUUGUCACGUCGGUUGUGAAAGCCCGGGGCUUAACCCCGGGUCUGCAGUCGAUACGGGCAGGCUAGAGUUCGGUAGGGGAGAUCGGAAUUCCUGGUGUAGCGGUGAAAUGCGCAGAUAUCAGGAGGAACACCGGUGGCGAAGGCGGAUCUCUGGGCCGAUACUGACGCUGAGGAGCGAAAGCGUGGGGAGCGAACAGGAUUAGAUACCCUGGUAGUCCACGCCGUAAACGGUGGGCACUAGGUGUGGGCAACAUUCCACGUUGUCCGUGCCGCAGCUAACGCAUUAAGUGCCCCGCCUGGGGAGUACGGCCGCAAGGCUAAAACUC